UACGUAGGGUGCAAGCGUUGUCCGGAAUUAUUGGGCGUAAAGAGCUCGUAGGCGGUUUGUCACGUCGGCUGUGAAAACCCGAGGCUCAACCUCGGGCCUGCAGUCGAUACGGGCAGACUAGAGUAUGGCAGGGGAGACUGGAAUUCCUGGUGUAGCGGUGAAAUGCGCAGGUAUCAGGAGGAACACCGGUGGCGAAGGCGGGUCUCUGGGCAACAACUGACGCUGAGGAGCGAAAGCGUGGGGAGCGAACAGG
rnacentral:rRNA from 1 species